GACGAACGCUGGCGGCGUGCUUAACACAUGCAAGUCGAACGGAAAGGCCCUGCUUUUGUGGGGUGCUCGAGUGGCGAACGGGUGAGUAUCACGUGAGUAACCUGCCCUUGACUUUGGGAUAACUUCAGGAAACUGGGGCUAAUACCGGAUAGGAGCUCCUGCUGCAUGGUGGGGGUUGGAAAGUUUCGGCGGUUGGGGAUGGACUCGCGGCUUAUCAGCUUGUUGGUGGGGUGGUGGCUUACCAAGGCUUUGACGGGUAGCCGGCCUGAGAGGGUGACCGGCCACAUUGGGACUGAGGUACGGCCCAGACUGCUACUGGAGGCAGCAGUGGAGAAUAUUGCACGAUGGGCGGAAGCCUGAUGCAGCAACGCCGCGUGCGGGAUGACGGCCUUCGGGUUGUAAACCGCUUUCGCCUGUGACGAAGCGUGAGUGACGGUAAUGGGUAAAGAAGCACCGGCUAACUACGUG
rnacentral:rRNA from 1 species